UACAGAGGUCUCAAGCGUUGUUCGGAUUCAUUGGGCGUAAAGGGUGCGUAGGCGGCGCGGUAAGUCGGGUGUGAAAUCUCGGGGCUUAACUCCGAAACUGCAUUCGAUACUGCCGUGCUUGAGGACUGGAGAGGAGACUGGAAUUUACGGUGUAGCGGUGAAGUGCGUAGAUAUCGUAAGGAAGACCAGUGGCGAAGGCGGGUCUCUGGACAAUAACUGACGCUGAGGAGCGAAAGCGUGGGGAGCGAACAGG
rnacentral:rRNA from 1 species